CAGGUCCCACUUGGGAUAAUGAACGUUGCCGACUACACACUAAAACUGCAAGUUCGAGAAGAUCCACCCGCUGCCGUCGGCUUAUACCAACCCAUGCUGGUCAAAAUGAGUGCGGUGUAUGGACAGAGGGGGAGGAAGACUGAAGAUAAACUGUGAAGACCACCACCGACGAAAAGAGACGACAAGGGCGCCCAGAAGCUAGAGGGGAAGGGAGGAGUCUGUAAUAGUGUUUUCGAUCGUGGGAGCGGACAGCUGUUCACCAGACGGAUCCUUCAAGCCAAGCGCUUUUUCCUUGCUAUGCCUCCAAAAGGAUAUAUGUUUGCUUUUCAGAACCCUUUUUUGUGAGAGCUAUUUAGAAAUUCCAAAGGACCUUAUAUUUGCGGAACUUGAUAUUACGAAGAACUGGACGCAAAGCACAAAACGGCCCCUUAUUAUUGAGACAUAAAAAUAACAUGGCAAAAGCAGAGUUUAGAUUCAAAAUAUCUCCUCGAUGGUCACGUUUGCCAGACCAAAACUAAAUUAUGGUGUUUAUAAUUGGGUAUCUUGACCGCUAUCUGUAUAAAGAGAUUA